rnacentral:pre_miRNA from 1 species
ACACGUCUUCUACCACUUUUGCAGUAUACCCCUGGCUAAAAUGUGCACAUUUUAGCCAGGGGUAUACUGCUAAAAUGAGAGAUUGUUUCUG